rnacentral:tRNA from 1 species
CUCCAGUUAGCCUAGUGAUUAAGGCUAUGGAUCACCAAUCCGGAGACGGCGGGUUCGAUUCCCGUUCUGGUCG